GAGUAGGGUUAGAGUUGGGUUAGGAGUAGGGCUAGGGUUAGGUUUGGGUUAGGAGUAGGGUUAGGGUAGAGUUAGGAGCAGGGUUAGGCUUAGGGUUUGGUAACCCAACCCUAACCCUACUCCUAACCCCAACCCUACCCUAACCCUACUCCUAACCCUAAUCCUAACCCAACCCUAACCCUACUCCUACUCUUACCUCUAACCCUAACCCUAACCCUUCUCCUAACCCAGCCCUAACCCUACUC